CUCAGAGAAAACAACCAAUCAGAAAAAGGUACUAUAAAACUCCCCUCCCCAUACAUCAUUUCCUCUUUCAAGCUGCGACAAAAACAGAACAAAAGGCAGAAAAAAUAUAAUGAAGAUACAGAUAUAAUGAAGUCCUAGAUACAAUGAAUACAACAACGUCCACCAUCUGAGAAGAACCGGUCAGAUGGACUGUAAGCUGAAAUGAGAGAAAACAGAAUUGAAAAGGUUGGUUAGCCAACGAAAUGUACUCUGAACAAAACAUGUAGGCUCCCAGUGAAAUAACCAGAAAUACCAUAAUAUGCAUAGAUCCCAACCCUUACUAGGAAAAACGGUCAUAAGAACAAAUGACAGGUAUCAGUGACAACAAAUAGAGUUGCAUACUUACCUGAUGAACCCAAACUAUUAAUGUUAAACAAGGGAGGGAUAAGAAUGGGAG